AGGUCACAUUGCAAUGCCAUCCAUGAGUUGUGUGCACUUGGCAACGGAUUUUCGGGAAAGCUGGCAUGAAAUUUGGUGAUGCGUUCUCCCAAAUGGACUUUAAGCGUCGGAAGCAUGACUCCCACAUGAUAACAGAACCAUCAUAAAGACCUGAUUCCACAAUGGCACAACUUUUGGCGUCGAAUUCCACGUCGACUUUCGACGAACGGGCCUCCUAAACAACACACACCAGCGACCCAGCGACAAAAACAAAUAAAUAAUUCGACCUUCAGCAUCUUGAUCGAAAUAUGUAGAAACACUCCAGUUCAAUCAAAUAGUUAUUACAAUUUUAAAUAAAUUAUAAUUCGAUUUUAAAGUGGAUUUUAUGAAUAAAGUAACAUUUUUAUAAUUUAAAAAUAUAUAUUUUGUAAUUAUUUUUAUGAAGAGCUAUUGGUAGCACCCCUGGUGUCACUGCCUAAGCGUGUUUGCCUAGCCCGCCCAUUUAUUUUGGGUCUGCCGGUUUACAAAAGUGCGUUGUCC